rnacentral:snoRNA from 1 species
GGCCCAAUAGUUUUGUCAGGAUCUCAUCCGCAUCUUCAUGUUGCAGCCAUUUCAUGGUUCAAUGGAAGGGGUCUGUUACACUUUGGGCAAAUCAAAUAUACACCCUCACUGUCUUCCAACGUUUUGUUGAUUUGACUAGCGAGCUCCGUUCUGGGGCUUGUCCGAGGGCUGUCUGUGGCACAUAUUGAGUUGAACUCCAUCAUCUUCAUCCAUUGAAGAACCUCUCAUGAUGGCUUUCUUAGUCUUGAUCCAUACAUUU